rnacentral:sRNA from 1 species
ACAGCCGCAAAAUCGGCUGUCGGGAUUAGCCUCCUGAAACUCACGUACGCGCACAACCGCGCCAGCGGUUUUUUU